AUGUACACCCCACAUAUAUAUCAAGACAUGCAGGAGUCGGGGUAUUAUCUCUCCGGAGCCCCGAACCUGGGUAAACUACCGCGUGAUACUCGCAUACCUGUCCCCGGAUAUUCCAUCAGCAGUCUUGCCCUCACACGAAGCCACCUUGUGGCAUCUGUCGUCUUGCACCCCACUGUGAGAAUACCCCGACAGUUGGCGCCCACCGUGGGCCGGUACUAUGAUACCACGCUGCUGCUGGUUUCGCAAUCCAGGCGGGACCAUUUUCGUCUUCACCGCCACGACGUCGCGCCGUCUCUCCAACAGCGGUCGGGGGCUCGACAUCGACUCGUCCCCGGAGCGACCGCGCGGGGCGGUGCGUCUUCGUCGUCGGCCUCGCCAUUUUCAUCAUCAUCACCGCGGCGUCACGCCGUCUCCCCGAUAGCGCUCGGGGGAUCGACAUCGACACGCCCCUGGGGCGACCGCGCGGGGCGGCACGCCCUCGUCGUCGGCCUCAGCCUCUUCGUCAUCACCGCCGCAACAUCUCUGUGGCGCCGGUCGGGGGCUCGACAUCAGCACGCCCCCGGCGCAGACCAUGCUGGGCGGAACGUCAUCGUCGUCCGCCUUCGGUCCACGCGCUCGCCGCUUCAGCUCUGCUCCACCUUCGUGUGCGCCGCGUCCGGUUUGCUUCGCCUCGCCCACUGCGAGCACCUCCGCCUCCGCGCGGGUGCACUGCAGCCCUCACGCCCCCUGCUUCCCCUCAUCGCUCGCGCCCCGUUCGCCGGCGGCCCGGGCUUCGCAGCCAAAGCUGGCAUCGUGCCUCGCGAGCGUGUCUUUCGCUCCCGCUCAGACUACCAAACCAUGGCCAUACACCAUCCACAUAUUGCUCAUAUAAUGGCCAGAUAUUCUCCGCACACUUCCAAGAUGCAGGCCAUGCAUGCCUCGUACACUAGUCAUAUUUGUUAG
rnacentral:rRNA from 1 species